CUACGGGACGCACCAGUGGGGAAUAUUGCACAAUGGGCGCAAGCCUGAUGCAGCCAUGCCGCGUGUAUGAAGAAGGCCUUCGGGUUGUAAAGUACUUUCAGCGGGGAGGAAGGGAGUAAAGUUAAUACCUUUGCUCAUUGACGUUACCCGCAGAAGAAGCACCGGCUAACUCCGUGCCAGCAGCCGCGGUAAUACGGAGGGUGCAAGCGUUAAUCGGAAUUACUGGGCGUAAAGCGAACGCAGGCGGUUUGUUAAGUCAGAUGUGAAAUCCCCGGGCUCAACCUGGGAACUGCAUCUGAUACUGGCAGGCUUGAGUCUCGUAGAGGGGGGUAGAAUUCCAGGUGUAGCGGUGAAAUGCGUAGAGAUCUGGAGGAAUACCGGUGGCGAAGGCGGCCCCCUGGACGAAGACUGACGCUCAGGUGCGAAAGCGUGGGGAGCAAACAGGAUUAGAUACCCUUGUAGUC
rnacentral:rRNA from 1 species